CUGGGCUCGAACGGCUUAAGAACGACUGUAGAAAUAUGGUUUUCCCGCAAGGGACUUGAGUCGAGGUGCUGCAUGGCUGUCGUCAGCUCGUGUCGUGAGAUGUUGGGUUAAGUCCCGCAACGAGCGCAACCCUUGUCCUGUGUUGCCAUCAUUAAGUUGGGCACUCUCAGGAGACCGCCAGGGAUAACCUGGAGGAAGGUGGGGAUGACGUCAAGUCCUCAUGGCCUUUAUGUCCAGGGCUACACACGUGCUACAAUGGACGGUACAAAGCGCAGCGAACUCGCGAGAGGGAGCCAAUCGCAAAAAACCGGUCUCAGUUCGGAUCGCAGGCUGCAACUCGCCUGCGUGAAGCUGGAAUCGCUAGUAAUGCCGUAUCAGAACGAUGGCGUGAAUACGUUCCC
rnacentral:rRNA from 1 species